rnacentral:rRNA from 1 species
UUCCGGUUGAUCCUGCCAGAGGUUACUGCUAUCGAGGUUCGACUAAGCCAUGCGAGUCGAAUGUAGCAAUACAUGGCGUACUGCUCAGUAACACGUGGACAACCUGCCCUUAGGUCGGGUAUAAACCCGGGAAACUGGGUAUAAUCCCCGAUAGGUCUCGGCUGCUGGAAUGCAUCGAGAUUAAAAGCUCCGGCGCCUAAGGAUGGGUCUGCGGCCUAUCAGGUAGUAGUGGGUGUAGUGUACCUACUAGCCUACGACGGGUACGGGUUGUGAGAGCAAGAGCCCGGAGAUGGAUUCUGAGACACGAAUCCAGGCCCUACGGGGUGCAGCAGGCGCGAAAACUUUACAAUGCUGGCAACAGCGAUAAGGGAACCUCGAGUGCCAGGUUACAAAUCUGGCUGUCGAGAUGCCUAAAAAGCAUUUCAUAGCAAGGGCCGGGCAAGACCGGUGCCAGCCGCCGCGGUAACACCGGCGGCUCGAGUGGUAACCGUUAUUAUUGGGUCUAAAGGGUCUGUAGCCGGCCGGAUAAGUCUCUUGAGAAAUCUGGCAGCUUAACUGUCAGGCUUUCAGGAGAUACUGUCUGGCUCGAGGCCGGGAGAGGUGAGAGGUACUUCAGGGGUAGGGGUGAAAUCUUGUAAUCCUUGAAGGACCACCAGUGGCGAAGGCGUCUCACCAGAACGGACCUGACGGCAAGGGACGAAAGCUAGGGGCACGAACCGGAUUAGAUACCCGGGUAGUCCUAGCCGUAAACGAUACUCGCUAGGUGUCGGCCACGGUGCGACCGUUGGCGGUGCCGUAGGGAAGCCGUGAAGCGAGCCACCUGGGAAGUACGGCCGCAAGGCUGAAACUUAAAGGAAUUGGCGGG